AUAGGCUGUGGGGGAGAUGGUGUAUCCUGUGUAUGUGUGUGUGUGUGUGUGUGUGUUCCUCGGAGGAUACUCGGUGCAUAAUAAAUGUUUCAGUAAUGAUGGCUUGAGGAGAGAGAAAAAGCUAGCUGUGAUGAAACACAAUCAUUUGUGAAGCAGAGUGAAAGAUAACUGCACUCUUUGAUGAUUUUUUUCCACAUUUUUUUAUUGAAAGCUUCAUCAGAGAGAAAAAAACAACUCAUAAAAUCCAAAUCCUAACAUCCACAGAUGUACAGAUAAUUUCUCCAAGUUCACACACACUGAGCAGCGUGUGCGAGGCGUGACUGUGUCCUCCUCGGCGCUGAAAUGAAGAAAAGUGGAAGAAAAAACCCAAAACAAACCAAAAAAAAAUAAAAGAGAGAAAACUAAUAAUAAAAAAACAACACAAAAUAAACCCCCAAAACAAAUUAAAAACCGCUCUGCUGUCCUAAUAAAUAGUUCCUCUUUUUAUCUGGUAAAUGAGUCCCAUGCCUAAUGCACUCUCUGUGCCGGCUAUCUUAACAUAUUCGGUUGGCCAUUUCCUAGUGAUCAUUAGAUUCGGGAUUUCUCAGGGAGACGUUUGAACUCCACGAGGGCUGUGCUGGCUGGCUGAGUGGCUGAGCUCCUGGGGUUGUGUGGCCAAUCGAUCAGCCCUCAUCAAAGGUGGACCGAAGCAUCAAUUAAAAAGCACAGGGCCUCACUCUUGCGGGGAGGGAGGGGGUUAGCUGGAGCAAUUUUCCCACUGCAUUAUAUGUUCGGAUAGAGUGUGUGUGUGUGCGUAAGUGUGUGGUUGUGCUGGUCUGUGAUGACUUAUUGAGCCACAGCUCUCCUUUACACUUGGUCUGUGAGAGUAACUCUGAACUACUGUUUUCCUAACACACGACAAUCAAUGAGCAAUGGCUGCGACUCCGUUCACGACGAAUGAAUCCACAAGAGCCUCGUGAAAACUGAGCGUGACGUGUAAUACAUCUAAUGAGUUUAUUCCUUUGACAGUGCGGAAGCCACACUACAUAAAUGAUUUUCUGGGGCAGAUUUAAGGAAGGCGGCAGUGAUUGUGAGUAAUGGUGAGAAAGGGACGGAUUGGGUUUAAAAAGAAAAAGUCCUCCUUAAAGGCAGUGAAAUAAGCACCGCGCCAUGAAAGACUUACACCGGAGAAAACUGGGAUGUAGGUAACAUCUCAAGAUCUGCACUUCAUUAGGUAUCUCAAGCUCACAGAGGAUCAGAGUCAUCUUGUAGAGAGUGUGUGAACAGAAAUCACACACUCUCUUUUUUUCCCCCCCCACACUUUGCUCUGAACGCACAGUAUUUUUUCAUCUUCCUGCAUCAAACAGAAGUUGGAAGAAAAUGCUGAGCAUCGGAUUCGGGUUUCUUUAAGGGUUUCAGAUGUGUGAGUUUUAGAUAUGAGACAGAGGAAUGUCUAAACACAAAUUUAAGUUGUUCACAUCAUGAUUGCAGAAACUUUACGACAACUUUUGUGGCAAACUCGCAGCAACUGGUUAUCCUCCUGACAGCUGAGUAGGGAAAAAAGAGGUGUAAAGAGCACCAGUAGGGCCCAUAAUCUGAAAAACAAGCCAGCAUGGAUAUUACCCCUACAAACUGCUGUCCCUCCUCAGUGAGCAGGCAUCACAUUGGACUACAGUCCAGGGGCCUGUUUCACUAAAGCGAUUUGUGAGAACCCAGAUGGUAGGAUUUGCAAAUUAUUGUUGCUUGCAAAUUUUGAUUCCAGCAGGACUCUCACAUGCUCGUGCACCGAAGUAGCAGAGAAGGGAAAAUGACAUUGUCAAAACUUCUCUCAACAAUGGACAAUGCCUCCUUUUCUGGUCAUAAGAGAUCCCUCUUUCCUUCCAUGUACUUUCUCAUGAUUAAAUUUAUUAAAUAUCUCAAAAGUAACACCCAUUUUGCGCCAUUUAUCUGGGUCCAGGUCACGGGUGGCAGCAGUCUAAGCAGAGAGGCCCAGACCUCCCUCUCUGAAGCCACGUCCCUCGGCUCUUCUGGUGGAGCAUGCAUUCCCAAGCUAACCGAUGUACAUAUUCCCCUCCAGUGCAUCCUGGGCCUGCACCAGGGUCUCCACCCAGUGGCAUCCCAAUUCCCAUGAGGCAUCCUAAUCAGAUCAACUACUCCAGAUGGAUUCUUUUCAGAUUACGGUGUCUUGUUCCAAAUGGACGCCGGCACUUUAAAGCAGCCGUAACAGCGAUGAACAGAUUUCCGUCUAAAAGCUGAAAAGGACAUACGGUGGCUACUGUGAACUUGAAGAAGAGGAAAGUCAAGUGUGACAGCGAGGUACCGCACAUCACACAGAAAACUUAAAAUGAUGAGUGGCUGUGUACAAAAAGGGAGGGAGGUGUUGGUGUGAUGGACAAAGAAGGGGUGAGAAUGUGCUCUUAAUUAGCACGGGGGGGGGUCGCAUCGGUCACCUCCUACAGUCCUGUACGGGGAACACACCGCUGCAUCGCGACAAAGAAACUUGAGGCUAGGGCCACUUUCUGCCUGGCAACAGGAGCUAACGAUCACCCCCUCUUUUUCUUUUUACGCACCCACUUUCUUUCUGGGUAUGGCUGGCUUCUGGUUUGUGCUGACACACGGGCUGAAUGGGAGCAGUUUCUGCUCCUGCCUCCUUAAAAUUGCAGGCAUGCCCUCUGUAAACUUCGGAGAAGGUAUUUGUAUUCUGAAAAGGUACAUUAUGCCAUUGUGCUAUUAAGAAAAAGCCAUUUCUGUUUGUUGGGUAAUCUUUCAGAUCUAUGUGAAAUAUUGGUACUGUGCACUAGUAGCAAACACCUGCCUUAACAUCUUUUUCUUUCUUGAAUUUCCAUUAGCAAAAUAGAACUGAUAUCCUUUUGUUGUGCAUUUCCCCCCCCAUAAUCUCUUGGCUAUUUGUAAUCCCAUUUCCCAUAAUGCCAUUACUAUUGAAUCUCAGGCCAUUUGUAGGACGCUCUGCUCUCUGAUGUGCAACUCCUGCAUUAUGAGUCCUAUUAAGCUUCAAAAUGUCUCCUGUACUCUAUAAAACAGCAGCUGUAAAAGUCUAGAGAACUCGGUUUUAGCUAUGCUGUACUCAUAACCUUGCUAAAGGUUGAAACACUAACACAAACAACUCUUCACAUAUACACCAGACACACAAAAACACACACUAGCUUAAAACUGGUAAAGUGUAGCAGCUCUGUUGUUUUGUCAGGACACUUAAAAACGAACAGUUGUGAGCAGAUGAGCAGCGUUGGCACGACGAGGGAACCCUAAAGCCCAACAGUGACUUGUUAGCAGUUGGAGGUGGAAGGGACUUGUUCCACGGGAGAUAAGAGCAGAUCGUAGCCUGAAGGCGAGCGAAAGCAGAUGCUGAGUGGUAGAUCAGAUGAAAGGAAAGGCCCAAUGUGUUGAUGUGACUGGAUAACAGUCAAUGAGGGACAGCUCGAGUGACACGUCUGGCUUCUGAUGUCCGUCGGUGGAUGGAAGACAGGAAUCUUCAGAGGGUGUUCGCGGUGCGACUGAGGGAAAAUAAAAAUAUGGCUUUUACAGUGUAGUUCACUUCGGGAACAAUUUUUUUGUGUCAUCGAGUGGACAGGAGGCCGGUUAAGAUCGAGCUGGCGGCCAAGUGAUCAACAGUGGCCGGCUCACCACAGAAAAUCACCGAUCGCAAUGAAAGGCAGAAGCCCAAGACAGCUUCAUCUUUAGCACCAUAGAGUAGCGUUUCCUCAGCACAGCUUCUUUAACAAGCUCUUCCAUGUGCUUUGCUUUAUUAACAAUUACACAGAUGAUUUGGAAUUAUUUGGAAGCUUUGUUAAAAAGGCACUCAAUGUACAGUUUGAUUGUUGCUUACGGAAAAAAAGGAAAACGAGAAAUCACCGCGAAUGAUGACAUACCGCAGUUCACUUUGCAACGUGCACACUGCCAGGAGCACAGGAUUUGAAUGAGUCACAUGAACUGCGAGUGCUCAAUUGCAAUUGUCACCAAACAAAAAGCUCCCUCUCUCUCCGCAAGAAAGGGGUCUUUUGAGGGACACUGGAGUGGAUCCUAUUGCCCCGGAGGGAGACAAAUUGGGCCCGUCAAGCCUCAUUGCGAGAGUGACUGAAAUUGGUUUGUGGUUCUGCUUCUGCACCAUCCAAUAAAGAGAAGAAACCUCAGAGAGAGAGUGAGAGAGAGAUAGCGUGAGAGACGGGGGUGGCGGUGUUGGUGGAAGAGGGAGAGGCUGACAGCGAGGGGAAAAUGAGAGCAAAGGAGGGUGGCUUGACCAUGGCACAUUAAUGUUGCAAGUGAAGCCGCGGUUCUUUUUAGUGCUGCGGCACCACAGCCGGGGCCGAGCAGGGGAGGCCACGGGUGAGCAGAACACAGACGCACACAGCGUUCCUGACACACAGGCUUUCUGUAAUACGGGCAGAAAUUACCCACAGGCAAUUUCUCUGGGGACAAUCCACAGAGAUGAAGUCACUG
ensembl:lncRNA